CUUGGUGGGUGCUGAAACAAUGCCGGGAGAGCGAAGCCGCCGAGUCUGUCCGGUUAGAGCCAGGCAUGAAGCAGGGACGGUACCGCGGGGAGCAGAUCCCCCUAGCCCAGUCGGAGGCGUUCCUAACGGACCUUUUGGAGAAAGUCUGUGAGCGAAUGAACGACUACAAGCUUGAGGAAGACCCUGUGACGAAGGAGAGAACUUUCAAGAGAUUUGCUCCUAGGAAAGGAGACAGAAUAUACCAAGAAUUUAAAAAAUUAUAUUUUUAUUCUGAUGCUUACAGACCUUUGAAAUUUGCGUGUGAAACUAUAAUAGAAGAGUAUGAAGAUGAAAUAUUCUCACUUAUCGCCCAGGAGGCACACUAUCUAGCUGACAAGCUGUGCAGUGAAAAAUCAGGUACUGUGUCUGAUGUAACAUGUACUCGCUGCUCGCACACCCUCUGUCUCUCACUCAGCCUUGCAGCGUCUUGUUUGCAAACCGAGCCUCGCUGCCUCUCUGCGACCCACAGCUCUGACACAGGAUCCCCCGUCUCCGCUGAAUCAGAAACAACAGCAUGUGAGAGAAAACAGAUAAACAGAAACCACAGGGCUGUAUGGCCUUCCUCUUUGUACUUUCUUUCCUCUACACGUUAAGUGAAAUCAAACAUUCUUGAUUUCCAGUUGUUAAGGAGAAAAUUCUUGUUCAGCAUUAGAAGACUCCCAAGUACUUUCUUUUUAAGAACUUUGAGAGAGAGGAUUUUUCCAUCCUGGACCAGGGAAGGAGCCCCUCACUUCAUGGCUUGAGUAUUUGCUACACCUGCAGAAGAUCUGUGUGAAACUUCUGCUGAUCAUACUGAGCUCUAGGAGGUCCGUGCUGCUAGUUGUAGAGAGGAGUAAAGUCACACCCAAAGGUCAAUGUCUGCAUUUUAUGUUUGCAUGUUAUCUUUCAUGAUAAGAAAUUUUGUCUCUUGUUUAUACCGUGUUUGUCUCCGUUUAUGAUUUAUUUCGAAAAUCUGUUGUUUGACAUCAUGACAAACCCUGAGUUUUUUUUAUAGGUGAAGCUGAGGAGUACAUGAAACUUAAAUUAACCUUUGCAGAUUUUGAUGAAUCAAGCUUGACAAUAAAGAAUUUAAUUCUGUAUUGGGGGAAAAGUAAAGACAUUUCAUAAACAAAAUAGGGAUUUCUUAAUGUAUGCUGUUUAUUUUAUAACAGUGUAUGUGCACAUAUACAAGUGCAGUAGCUAUCUGAUAAGAACUGGAUUUGAAUUCUCAAAUACUUGAUUGCCUAUAAAUUUAAGGAAAUACAUGGCAACAAAUUCAAAAUGUGGUCUUCUGAGUGAGAUAUGGCUAUUGGUGAAAGAAACAAACUCACUUUUUAUCAGGAAUGAAAUUUAAAUUUUUAGAAACCACAAGUUUAAAAACUCAUCUCUAAAGUUUAGUGGAAUGUGUAAAAACUAAUUAAUGCUUUAAUUUAUAGUAAACAAUAAUUGUAUUGGCCUCACAAACACCAAUCUGAGUUUAAAUGGUUUAGAAAGUUGAUUUAUUAUUGCAUUAUGUGUUAAAAGGUGACGCUAGUGAUUGUGUUUUGUUUUGCUCCAAACUCUUCUGGUUUGUUUGUUUUUCUUCUAAAGGUUUUUUUUUUUUUUUUUUUGACUUACAUUUAGCGUGUUGAGUUUACUACUAAAUAAUUUUCCAUUCUUCUACAGGAAUGGAAAGAGAUUUGGGACCUGGUGGGAAAUUAUCUUUUGACCACACUUAUAUACAAAGUCUAGUAAUAAUCACUCCCGAAAAUUUCUUUAUCUCUGUUAAAUUUGCAUUCAAUGGAAUCUGACUUUAGUGAUGAAAAAUGUCAGGGUAUAGUCUACACCAGUUUCUACAAAGAGAUUCUCAUUGUCUUUGGUGACAAUCAAGUGGGUAGGAUGCUACACAUUCUGCCUGGAAGACCUAAAACUCUUUGCCAUAUUGUUAGUUGCUUAAAAAGCACAUUAUGUGUUUAAAUCAUUCUCCUGACUCUUCAGCAGGAAACAAUCCUUAUAUUUAGGAAAAUUUACCAAAGCUAAGGGGAAGGGCUUUCCAUGCCCCCUCCCCACCUCAACUCUGAUUAAAAGUUAGUAAGUUAGUAUCACUUAAUUAUUUGGGUGCUUUUUUUUUGUCUUGUCUGUAGCUGCUUAAGUAUGAUGGCUCCUGACAUAAGCCAACGAACUCGCACUCUAGCUGACACACGAUGGAAAUAGAACUGAAUAAUAAUUAACACUAUUUUCCAGUAGGGUAGGACAAUUGUUAUUUAAAACAUAGUCCCUAUAGCUUUAUUUAAAUGUACCUAGUUAAGGUUAAUUUGGCAUUUAAAGUAGUAAAUCAGGAACAUUCUCCUAACUUGGGUUUUCUUGGGAAAUGGACUAAACAGGAAAAUUAUUCCCGAAAACCUGGUGACCUUCACAGGAACAUGGUGGGAACUGUGACUCUAAGUAAGCUUCACUGAAAAAUGUUAACAGUUGUAAUUGUAGAAGUGUUGCCAAAUUUGUUUUCAUACUCUCAUUGAUCAUCAUUAAAAAUUCUCAAAUGUAGACAAUACUAACACUAAUUAUAGAAAUUAAGAAAAUGUGGACUCCUGUUUGUGACUAAAGGGACGUGGGGAGGUGCACCUCCUGUCACUGAGGGGUGCCUUUCAUUGACAGUGAUGCUUUGCUUUGAAUGGAGAGGGCCGGGAACCUUGACUUACAGCGAAUAGCUGAGGUUUUGCUAAAUAUGGCAUUUCAGUGUUUUUCUUGGGUUUCCCAUUUAAAAUAGUCUUGUGUCUUGUAAA